CCCUACGGGGCGCAGCAGUGAGGAAUAUUGGUCAAUGGGCGGGAGCCUGAACCAGCCAAGUCGCGUGAGGGACGACGGUCCUAUGGGUUGUAAACCUCUUUUGUCGGAGAACAAAACCCGGGACGUGUCCCGGACUGCGUGUAUCCGAGGAAAAAGCAUCGGCUAACUCCGUGCCAGCAGCCGCGGUAAUACGGAGGAUGCGAGCGUUAUCCGGAUUUAUUGGGUUUAAAGGGUGCGUAGGCGGUCCGUUAAGUCAGCGGUAAAAUUGCGGGGCUCAACCCCGUCGAGCCGUUGAAACUGGCAGG
rnacentral:rRNA from 1 species